AAGGUAAACCUAAUAAAAUAUAAAUUAAGUGAACUGAAACAUCUAAGUAACUUAAAGAAUAUAAAUCAACAGAGAUAUUAUGAGUAUUGGUGAGAGAAAAUAAUAUAGUCAAAUUAUAUAUAUAUUAUUAUAUAUAAUAAGUUAAGUAUUAUGUAAACAUAUUAUGUAAGAAUAUAGGACAAACUAGUUCUAAGACUAAAUAUUAUUAAUAAGCAAAUUAAGUACCGUAAGGGAAAAUAAGUAAUUGGUUAUUUUAUAAGCAGUUAUAAAUAUAUAUUAAUAUAUUAAUAACGUACCUUUUGUAUAAUGGGUCAGCAAGUAAUUAGUAUUAGCAAAAUAAUAAUUAAAUUAUUAUAAAUAAUUUGAAUAUAAACAUUGUAUAUAUAAUUUAUAUAUAUUUUUAUAUAUAAAUAAUUAGUUAAUAUUAAUUGACCCGAAAGCGGACGAUCUUAAUAUGACCAGACGGAAACGGUCGAACAGGUUGAUGUUGCAAUAUCAUCUGAUGAGUUGUGUUAAGCGGUGAAAGACAAAUCUGGUUCGCAAAUAGCUGGUUUUCCACGAAAUAUAUGUUAGUAUAGCCCUUAUAAUUUUUAAUAUUAUUAUUUAAUAAAAUAAUAAAGAAUGGUACAGCUAUAAAUAUUAUUUGGGGAAUAAUUGUUAUUUUAUCAAAGGUAUUUAAUCUCGAAAUGUUUAUUAAUAAAAUAUAAGGAGUCAGACUAUACGCGAUAAGGUGAAUAGUCUAAAGGGAAACAGCCCUGAAUAAGAUAUAAAGUUCUAAAUUAGAUAAUAAGUGAAAUAAAUAUUUAAAUAUUAUAAUACAAUCAGUUAAUGGGUUUGACAAUAACCAUUUUUUAAUGAACAUGUAACAAUGCACUGAUCUAUAUAUAAUAAUAAUAUUUAAAACCAUAAUUAUUACUUUUUUUUAAUAAUUAUGUAAAUAAAUAAUAUAACGGAUCUUAAUUUAUAAUUAUCUAACUGAAUAUCUAUAUAUUAUUAUAUAAUAUUUAAUAUAAUAAUAUGGUAGUGGAACAUUUAAUGAAUAAUAUAUAUAUUUUAAUUAUAAAUAUAUAUAAAUUAAUUAAAUAGAGAAUGCUGACAUGAGUAACGAAAAAAAGGUAUAAUCCUUUUCACCUAAAGCAUAAGGUUUAACAAUAAAAGUACGGCCCUUAAGUAAUAUAUGAAUAUAAAUAUAUAAUACGAUAGGAUAAUUCUAAUAAAUAUACAUAUUUUUAUUAUAUAUAUAUAAACUAAUAAAAAUCAAGAAAUAGUAUGUUUUCCCGCCCAACUCUUUAUAAGAGUUGGGCGGGGUAUAUAAGAUACCGUAAUGUAUACCGACUCUGGUAUGUUAGUAGAGAAUAUGAAGGUGAAUUAGAUAAUUAAAGGGAAGGAACUCGGCAAAAAUAGCUCUAACGUUAGUCAAAAAAGAGUAAUAAAAACAAGGUUGUCCAACUGUUUACUAAAAACACCGCACUUUGCAAAAACGUUAAGUUAUAGUAUAAGGUGUGAACUCUGCUCCAUGCUUAAUUCAUAAAUUAUAUUAUUAUUAUGAUAUAUAUAAUUAAAUUUAAGUAAAUAGCAGCCUUAUUAUGAGGGUUCUAAGGUAGCGAAAUUCCUAGGCCAAUAAUUGUGGUCCUGCAUGAAUGACGUAAUGAUACAACAACUGUCUCCCCUUUAAGCUAAGUGAAAUUG
rnacentral:ncRNA from 1 species